rnacentral:rRNA from 1 species
GACGAACGCUGGCGGCGUGCCUAACACAUGCAAGUGGAGCGACGAACCGGGCUUCGGCCCGGGGCAAAGCCGCGAACGGGUGAGUAACACGUGGGUAACCUGCCCUGAUGAUUGGGACAACCCGGGGAAACUCGGGCUAAUACCGAAUGUGCCCUCCGGCCAUAAGGCCGCUGGGGAAAGGAAGCUUCGGCCUCCGCAUCGGGAUGGGCCCGCGGCCCAUUAGCUUGUUGGUGAGGUAAUGGCUCACCAAGGCAACGAUGGGUAGCUGGUCUGAGAGGACGAUCAGCCACACUGGGACUGAGACACGGCCCAGACUCCUACGGGAGGCAGCAGUGGGGAAUCUUGCGCAAUGCGCGAAAGCGUGACGCAGCAACGCCGCGUGGGGAAGAA